GACGAACGCUGGCGGCGUGCUUAACACAUGCAAGUCGAGCGGUAAGGCUCCUUCGGGAGUACACGAGCGGCGAACGGGUGAGUAACACGUGAGCAAUCUGCCCUUCACACGGGGAUAACUUCGGGAAACCGAAGCUAAUACCCGAUACGACCACCUCAGGCAUCUGACGGUGGUGGAAAGUUCCGGCGGUGAAGGAUGAGCUCGCGGCCUAUCAGCUUGUUGGUGGGGUGACGGCCCACCAAGGCAACGACGGGUAGCCGGCCUGAGAGGGUGACCGGCCACACUGGGACUGAGACACGGCCCAGACUCCUACGGGAGGCAGCAGUGGGGAAUAUUGGACAAUGGGCGAAAGCCUGAUCCAGCAACGCCGCGUGAGGGAUGACGGCCUUCGGGUUGUAAACCUCUUUCAGCAGGGACGAAGCGCAAGUGACGGUACCUGCAGAAGAAGCACCGGCCAACUACGUGCCAGCAGCCGCAGUAACAC
rnacentral:rRNA from 1 species